rnacentral:rRNA from 1 species
AAUUCGAUUAGAGUUUGAUCAUGGCUCAGGACGAACGCUGGCGGCGUGCUUAACACAUGCAAGUCGAACGGAAAGGCCCUGCUUUUGUGGGGUGCUCGAGUGGCGAACGGGUGAGUAACACGUGAGUAACCUGCCCUUGACUUUGGGAUAAUUUCAGGAAACUGGGGCUAAUACCGGAUAGGAGCCCCUGCUGCAUGGUGGGGGUUGGAAAGUUUCGGCGGUUGGGGAUGGACUCGCGGCUUAUCAGCUUGUUGGUGGGGUAGUGGCUUACCAAGGCUUUGACGGGUAGCCGGCCUGAGAGGGUGACCGGCCACAUUGGGACUGAGAUACGGCCCAGACUCCUACGGGAGGCAGCAGUGGGGAAUAUUGCACAAUGGGCGGAAGCCUGAUGCAGCAACACCGCGUGCGGGAUGACGGCCUUCGGGUUGUAAACCGCUUUCGCCUGUGACGAAGCGUGAGUGACGGUAAUGGGUAAAGAAGCACCGGCUAACUACGUGCCAGCAGCCGCGGUGAUACGUAGGGUGCGAGCGUUGUCCGGAUUUAUUGGGCGUAAAGGGCUCGUAGGUGGUUGAUCGCGUCGGAAGUGUAAUCUUGGGGCUUAACCCUGAGCGUGCUUUCGAUACGGGUUGACUUGAGGAAGGUAGGGGAGAAUGGAAUUCCUGGUGGAGCGGUGGAAUGCGCAGAUAUCAGGAGGAACACCAGUGGCGAAGGCGGUUCUCUGGGCCUUUCCUGACGCUGAGGAGCGAAAGCGUGGGGAGCGAACAGGCUUAGAUACCCUGGUAGUCCACGCUGUAAACGGUGGGUACUAGGUGUGGGGUCCAUUCCACGGGUUCCGUGCCGUAGCUAACGCUUUAAGUACCCCGCCUGGGGAGUACGGCCGCAAGGCUAAAACUCAAAGGAAUUGACGGGGCCCCGCACAAGCGGCGGAGCAUGCGGAUUAAUUCGAUGCAACGCGUAGAACCUUACCUGGGUUUGACAUGGAUCGGGAGUGCUCAGAGAUGGGUGUGCCUCUUUUGGGGUCGGUUCACAGGUGGUGCAUGGCUGUCGUCAGCUCGUGUCGUGAGAUGUUGGGUUAAGUCCCGCAACGAGCGCAACCCUUGUUCACUGUUGCCAGCACGUUAUGGUGGGGACUCAGUGGAGACCGCCGGGGUCAAC